UUCUGGAAGGAUGGACAGAUUGGGAGCUCUUUCGUGAUUCGGUGGAUGGUGGUGCAUGUCCGUUUUUAGUUGGUGGAGCGAUUUGUCUGGUUAAUUCCGAUAACGAACGAGACUCUAGCCUAUUAAAUAGGUAUGUGGUUCUCUGCACCUUGCACCCUUCUUAGAGGGACAAGCUGCACCUAGCCGCAAGAAACGGAGCAAUAACAGGUCUGUGAUGCCCUUAGAU
rnacentral:rRNA from 1 species